ensembl:lncRNA
GAACUAAAAUUGUCAUCGGUCCUUUCACAUACCUAUGGUUGUUGAUCUUUAGAACAGGUGACACAAAAAAAAAUUAGUUAAAAGAGCUUGGAUUUUCUUUCUCUUUACUCAACUGAACCUCCACAUCUGAGCUUAGAAAGGUCAGAAUAUUGGUAUUAUCUGUAUAAUAGCUGUAAUAAUUAUCUAUAUGAUUAUCUACAGUAAAUAAUUGAAUGCUGACUUCAUCUUAGUAAAAAUGCCCAAGAAGCUCACGGUUGGGAUGGGGUUUACUAAGUGCUACACGGUGUAUGACCACAGAGAUUCCACUUCGACGGAAAUUUGUCACUUAAGAGAUGAAAACAAGAGUCUGUGGAAUGAUAAGUCUUCAUUUUGGGUGGAUCUCAACAACUCCUGUUGCCUAUGCCUCCUGGGAACAUAUGCAACGUCUUUGCAGAAAGGGAAUAUCCUUAGUCAUAGCUACCAGGGAUUCUGAUAUUACUUUGUAGGGUUAGAAAACCUUUAUAUUUUUCAGUAUUUUUUUAAUUGAGGUUUUUCUAAUUGUAUCAGGCUUUCAAUUUAAGCAAGGCCAAGAGCUGGAUUCUUCUCCCAUACUUAACCCAUCUCUGAUUGUAUGAUUUCUGAUAUGAAGCAAUACUGUGCUCAAAUCUUUUGUGUGUUUCCACAGCAAAGUAGUAACUCUGUCUUGGAAGAACUGCAGUUGGCUGUGCUGAAGCUGAAAUGCCUCUGGAGUGUGUGGCUAUGUAAUAACAGCUAGAGCCUUGCACGCUGGAGGAGCUUGCUGCUAGUCUUGGAGAGUGGGCAUGCUGCUGGGAGGAAACUGAUAAACAUAUUUCUGUCUUUAUCCUCCCGUUGUCACAUAAUUGGCUUCUGAUUAACUACAGGGCAACUCAAAAUCAAGGAAAAUGGAAAGACGUCAGGGUGAAAAAACUGGAUGAAGUUCAUGAUCACUAGGAAGAACAGCACCAUUUCCAAUGACAUGCCUUUUACUACACGAGUCUCUUUUACAAGAAGGAAGUUAAGGUAAAGAAGAAAAUGAUCAAAGUCACUCAGAAUGCCUUCUCCUUGACUGAGGCAGUUGGUCCAUGGCUUCACUUCUUCCCUCUAACACCUUUCAGGCCAUGUCAUUUGCUUCCUCCGUUGUGUCAGUUCUGGUGCUCAGUGAACCUCCUGCCAAACUAGAUUGACCCACUAAAGCAGCAGAAAAGUCUUUGUUUUUUUCCAGGUAGUUAAUGUGCAUUGCAAAAGUUACACUGGCUUGUGGAGAAAUGUGAAGAGCAGCAAACAUAUAACCUGACACAUCAAGCCAACAGGCAGUGUACAGCUGGUGAAAGCAAGCUUUUAUGGUAGUUCACCAAGUUUUGUGGAAAUGCUAUAUCAACAGUGCUGAUACCAGAACAUGGGAUAGAAUAGCAGAUGUUCUCAGACUUCACUGGUGUGGUUGUCACCAUCAAUGGUUCUUUAUUCAGUGUUCUGCUGUACUUCUUGCAUGACCUCACUUGCAUCCAGGACCCAAAGACAUUAUCACCCUAUUUUCUUACUGCUUGCCUCAUGCCAAGCAAAAAGAGGUCCAGCCACUGCCAUCCCCAACCUGCUCCACCUCAUAAGGAGAUCUCACAACUUUUUGGCCCCUGUACCACAUCUGACCUCAUGUCUAUGUGGUGAGCCAGAGCAGGUUAUAGUAGAAGCACCUGUACCUUAAGAAGAGCAGGCUUGGGUGCUGCUGAAGAUCCUUGGUGGCUAUGGGCAGGGGCAUCUGCCUUCCAACUUGGAUUUAGAUGCUUCUAAGGUCAACGGAAACUGCUACUCCAUGCCAUAUCGAAGUGGUUCUAUACGCCUUUGGUGGUAUGAGGACCAUUGCAUGUAAACCUUGGCAACAAAGUUUUUUGUUGUCUGAGGAAGAAUUAGAAAGGUCCUGUCUUUGUUCAGGGAUAAAAGAAAUAUGCUCUACUAAGUAUAUGCUCAAUUAAAUAUCCCAUUACACUGAUUGACAGAAGUAAAUGGAGAGAGCAAACAAAUACAAUAUCAAUCUUAUGGAAAAUAAGAAUAUAUUAUUUUGAGAAAUGUGUGUAUGGUAAUUAUAUAUCUACAAAAAGCCUAAACUUUAUUUGGAAUUUUCUUUCUUUCUUUCUCACUUCGUUUCUCUCUCUCUCUUUUUCUUUUAUUUCUCUCUCUAUUUCUUCCUAAGUAAUCAAUUCGACAUUUUCGUUGUGUAUUCCAUCUGGGCAUGGAUAAAGCCAGUGGCUUCUCUCUGAAUUUUGU